rnacentral:lncRNA from 1 species
ACUUCUUUUUAUUUAUUUCAAAAUUCUGAUUUGAGCAUUGAAGGGUAUCCGUCGGAGCCAACUUCGAUCAGAGACUUAUCUUAUAGGUUCUACCACUGCCGUCCUCCCGUCGCCGACCUAUGGUCGUUGAUCAACUCCAGCCAAGAUAUAUUUCUGCAGCAAUAGUUGUGUUUCAACAUUAAGUAAUAGUUCGUUGUUGCUUAGCUAAAGUGUAGAAAAACAUGCAUAAAAAAUUCAUAGAGGGGAUAUGCUAACUCACAAUUCUUUUUGUUGGUUGCAUCAGAUGAAAGGUCAUAGGCAUGUAGAGUUUGCAAACAUUGAGAG